UGAAGCGCAGGUCCAUGGUGGCCUGUUGCUUCUUGAGGGCCAGGACCUCUUGAGUGAGGGCAGCGGUCUUCUGGGAGUCUGUGUCAGCCCCCAGCCUGCCCACGUGGCCUGUGCGAUCUGCCUGGAGCGAGGCCACGCCUGCCUGGAUCGUUGUCUUCAGGUCAGUGAGCAUCUCCCGCAGGGCUGCCUCUGUCACCGGCGUCAGUGCUCCGAGGGACUGGUUGUGGGUGAGCCGGGGCCGGUGUUGCAGUGUUGCUCAGACUCAGCGAGAAGUCAUCUGAGGAGUCUGAGUAGUCGGUGAUGUUGGCCGCCAUUUUGGGCUUGACGGAGCAUUUCCCCGAUGUUUAUUCCCGGCCUGGGUUUGUCGGGUUUCUGCUUCUUAAGCUUUCGCCCCAUGUUGGUCAGGGCUAUGUUUUUUGCAUUUUUGGGGUGAAAUUUAUGCCUUUACCUCCUAUUCGGAAUCUGCCACUGCCAUUAUUUUUCAUACUAAUUCCAAAUCCACUGGAUUGAUAUAAAUAUUUCUAUCCAAGUUCCCCUAUUUUGAAGCAUUUUUUAAAGCAUCUUUUGAGGUGACUUAAUUAGUCAGUGUAGCUUUGUGUCCAUUUCAUAUUUUGAUGA